AGGUAUUAUUCUUACACCUGUUCAACUCCUGCAUCUCACAACCAUUGAAGUUUGGUCCUGCAGCUCAACAUUCAAACAAGAAUUUAUCCAAACGGUCCAGCUGCGAUGAGGACGUCUGCAGUUCUAUGCACAGUCUUAUUGAUGUUGAGUCACACACUUUGUAGACGUCAUCAAGACAGUUCCAUGAGUAUCAGAAAUCCAGACAUCGAUGCCUCCUGGUACACAGGCAGAGGGAUCCGACCAGUGGGACGGUUUGGAAGAAAGGCUGUGAGGAGAAUCGAACAUCUGGCUUUUAUCACAGCCGGAGCUCACAGGCCAACAGCUGA